rnacentral:lncRNA from 1 species
CAGUGUCACCAACACACCCACAGUGACAACAGAGGUGCCCACCAUGACAGCAUCCACAGACUCCACUGCCGAAAACACAGGAGCCACAUCACAGCCUGGAACUGCAAGUCUUCCAACAGCCACCUCAGGGGUUUCCGGGACAACAGGACCAGAACCAUCAACUGUUCCAACACCUAGCUCCUCCACCCAGGAAACAUCUGCAUCUCCUCCUCCCAGCCCCUCCCCAGAGGGGACCACAUCAACCCUAUCAAGCUCCCUGAAUGGAAACACUCUGCCAGUGACCGUUUCUGCAGAGACAUCCCUUCCUGGUGAGUCCACCAGCUUGUCCUAUGCCAGUGUCAUCAA